UGGGCGUAAAGCGCAUGCAGGUGGUUUGUUAAGUCAGAUGUGAAAGCCCGGGGCUCAACCUCGGAAUUGCAUUUGAAACUGGCAAACUAGAGUACUGUAGAGGGGGUAGAAUUUCAGGUGUAGCGGUGAAAUGCGUAGAGAUCUGAAGGAAUACCGGUGGCGAAGGCGGCCCCCCUGGACAGAUACUGACACUCAGAUGCGAAAGCGUGGGGACGCAAACAGGAUUAGACUACCCUGGUAG
rnacentral:rRNA from 1 species